AUAUACAAAUACAAAACUAAUGAAGAAGAGAAUGAGAUUGUAAUUAU
rnacentral:guide_RNA from 1 species